rnacentral:rRNA from 1 species
AAAUAGCUCUUUAAUUGGGAGAUGGUAUGAACGGUAACACUAACUAGCUUGUGAUUUCUUUUCUGUGAAUUUUUAUUCUUGAUGAAAAUAUCAAGGUAUUAUUUUUAGACAAAAAGACCCUAUGAAGCUUUAUAAUUAUCAUUACUAUGACUAAAUGGUUUAAAAUUAUUUUUUUGGGGUAAAAAAUAAUUAUAUUAUUAUAAAGAUUAAAGUUUGACUAUCCACAU